rnacentral:rRNA from 1 species
GACAGGUGGUGCAUGGUUGUCGUCAGCUCGUGUCGUGAGAUGUUGGGUUAAGUCCCGCAACGAGCGCAACCCUUAAGCUUAGUUGCCAGCAUUAAGUUGGGCACUCUAAGUUGACUGCCGGUGACAAACCGGAGGAAGGUGGGGAUGACGUCAAAUCAUCAUGCCCCUUAUGAUUUGGGCUACACACGUGCUACAAUGGACAAUACAAAGGGCAGCUAAACCGCGAGGUCAUGCAAAUCCCAUAAAGUUGUUCUCAGUUCGGAUUGUAGUCUGCAACUCGACUACAUGAAGCUGGAAUCGCUAGUAAUCGUAGAUCAGCAUGCUACGGUGAAUACGUUCCCGGGUCUUGUACACACCGCCCGUCACACCACGAGAGUCUGUAACACCCGAAGCCGGUGGAGUAACCAUUUAUGGAGCUAGCCGUCGAAGGUGGGACAAAUGAUUGGGGUGAAGUCGUAACAAGGUAGCCGUAUCGGAGGGUGCGGCUGGAUCACCUC